GGGGCCGCCCGUUGCUAUGGGGCCGCACGUUGCUAAGGGGGAGGCUACGGUGGGGGACGAGGGUCAAAAAGGAUAGUCUGAGCUAAAUCUAGCACGGCAUGCCUCCUCCCCGAUGAGCUUGCAGCCAAGUGCAUGGCAAUUAGUGGCAGAACGAAGCGGGGCCAAGAGGCUGGCCUAAAUCGGCGCUUGGAGGAAGAUCCCGCAGAGCUUAGAGAAAUGUGCAGCUUACCAGGUGAUCCGCAGGCCAGAGGCGGCUGUAAAUCAGGCUGUGCGUGCUCCGGAGCUGUCUCAGCGCUGCCUUGCUGCCAGCAGGCUUCUCGUGCAGAAUUGUGGUGAAGCUAACGUAAGGGCAGGGAGCCUGGCUCGUGAGCUGGAGGUUUAUUGUGCAUUGGGGAAAUCUUCCCCAAAUGAAACUGUACCUCAGUAAUACGCUGACCCCUGGAUGAGUUUGCGUUGUUCCAUCCUCCUCUCUUCAUCCUUUCUGCUCUGCAGAUGCUGUGCUGUCCUAGCUUCCUUCUCCUGAGGUGGGUUUUACUUUGCAGCCUGGGGUCAGCCUCAUUGACUGUUUGCUCUAGGAAAAAAAAAAGCACUGAGGCCUUUCAACAUAUCUGACAAUGGUGGUAGACAUGCAGAUUUAAGAAAUAAUGGCCCAAAGAUCCCAGAUCAGAAUGACUGACUCAAUAUAUUUUGAUUUUGCAGUCUGAAACCAGAACUGAGCUCCAUGUCUGACUGUUAACCACACAGGAGAAGCUUUGGCACCCACGCUGUGCGAAUGAAGCCUGUAGGCUUUCUGCAGUGUGGGGGCCUUUCCAAAGGAGCCGCAAAGGCUCUGGGCAAAUUUUGGUGGUGUUCAGUGGGAGCUGGGGACCUGGAUCCCCAGAAUACAGCAAGUUGGGCUGCCUUGUGGACAUCAAGGUUCUCUGUUGCAGAGAUGCUGUCUGCUCCCCGAGGUAGCUGUGCUAUUAAAACACUUUGGCAGGGUUAACCUGCCCGUGUUGUGUUCCCCGUGGUGUUCAGGUAAAGUGAGGUGAGUGGUCUCCUGCCCCGCGAGUGAAGUGGGUCGCGUGCCUGAAGCUGUUCUGUGCUGGGUUUGCAAGCAAGGUGUGAAAUGCUGGCAGGUGGUUGUGGCAUGAGGUGAGACUACAGAGCUUGGAGGUCAGGCCCUGCCACAGAGGAACUGAUUUCUUUCUGCAAAUAGUGGCCAACGAGAUGCUUAAUGAAACAAUUCUUUUUUUGUGAGGGAAUGGUACAGCUGUUCCCUGGAUUGUGUGCGCUCCUUGUAAGCCAUUAGAAAAAUUAUGUGAUUUGAGUAGAUGUGGAAGUCUGUCAGGGGCAACUCCUUGGGAAAAAAAACAUCUGAAUAUUGACAGGGGUGUGCUGUAAAGCAUGUGGAGGAUAGCCCCAGAGCUAGAGCCAAGAGCCUCGUUACCUGUUAUUGCUCUGUAGUCAUUGCUGUAGUGAGAGGUGAUGCCAAGGGCUGUUCAACACACAGUAUGGCUGAGUUUGGGUCA